AGAGCGAACGCUGGCGGCAGGCCUAACACAUGCAAGUCGAGCGCGUGUAGCAAUACACGAGCGGCAGACGGGAGAGUAACACGUGGGAACGCGCCCUUCGGUUCGGAAUAACUCAGGGAAACUUGAGCUAAUACCGGAUACGCCCUUACGGGGAAAGAUUUAUUGCCGAAGGAACGGCCCGCGUCCGAUUAGCUAGUUGGUGAGGUAACGGCUCACCAAGGCGACGAUCGUUAGCUGGUCUGAGAGGACGAUCAGCCACACUGGGACUGAGACACGGCCCAGACUCCUACGGGAGGCAGCAGUGGGGAAUAUUGGACAAUGGGGGCAACCCUGAUCCAGCCAUGCCGCGUGAGUGAUGAAGGCCCUAGGGUUGUAAAGCCCUUUGGCGGGGAAGAUAAUGACGGUACCGCAGAAGAGCCCGGCUAACUUCGCGCCAGCGCCGC
rnacentral:rRNA from 1 species